rnacentral:piRNA from 1 species
UAGGCUGAUCACUUCAAAGAGGUAUU